rnacentral:rRNA from 1 species
UACGUAGGGUGCAAGCGUUGUCCGGAAUUAUUGGGCGUAAAGAGCUCGUAGGCGGUUUGUCGCGUCUGCUGUGAAAACUCGGGGCUUAACCCCGGGCCUGCAGUGGGUACGGGCAGACUAGAGUGCGGUAGGGGAGACUGGAAUUCCUGGUGUAGCGGUGAAAUGCGCAGAUAUUAGGAGGAACACCGGUGGCGAAGGCGGGUCUCUGGGCCGUAACUGACGCUGAGGAGCGAAAGCGUGGGGAGCGAACAGG